rnacentral:misc_RNA from 1 species
UGGGUUUGGCUCCCACGCAAACUUUGACUGACUUUUCGGAGGUCUCUCAUGGCCUUAAACCUCAAAUCUUCAUUGUAACCGCUAGGUUCUGGAACCGUGUCCGGAAUAGCCAUUCGACCUUCAAGCAUGUUCACAACUUCAGACAUGCUAGGUCUAAUUGUAGGAGAUGCAUUUGUGCACAAAAUGGCUACUUUGACCAUAGUUUCUGCUUCUUCUUUGCUGAACUCUGACUUCAAUGUCUCAUCAACAAGCUUCAUCAGAUUUCCACUCUCUUGCAAAUGGCAUGCCCAAUCUAAGAGACAAACGCAAUCGUUGCUAGGCAUAAAGUUAUUGUUGUUCUUCCCGCUGACAAUUUCCAAUGCCACAACUCCAAAACUGUAAACAUCUGCUUUUUCGGUCAAGUAACCCCAUAGUGCAUAUUCUGGUGCCAUAUACCCUAUAGUUCCAGCAAUCCGAGUGCUGAUAUGGCUCUUUU